GAUGAACGCUGGCGGCGUGCCUAAUACAUGCAAGUCGAGCGAACAGACGAGGAGCUUGCUUCUCUGACGUUAGCGGCGGACGGGUGAGUAACACGUGGAUAACCUACCUAUAAGACUGGGAUAACUUCGGGAAACCGGAGCUCAUACCGGAUAAUAUAUUGAACCGCAUGGUUCAAUAGUGAAAGACGGUUUUGCUGUCACUUAUAGAUGGAUCCGCGCCGGAUUAGCUAGUUGGUAAGGUAACGGCUUACCAAGGCAACGAUGCGUAGCCGACCUGAGAGGGUGAUCAGCCACACUGGAACUGAGACACGGUCCAGACUCCUACGGGAGGCAGCAGUAGGGAAUCUUCGGCAAUGGGCGAAAGCUUGACGGAGCAACGCCGCGUGAGUGAUGAAGGUCUUCGGAUCGUAAAACGCUGUUAUUAGGGAAGAACAAAUGUGUAAGUAACUAUGCACGUCAUGACGGUACCUAAUCAGAAAGCCACGGCUAACUACGUG
rnacentral:rRNA from 1 species